UCCUCUCUCUUUCUUUUCCUUAUGAGUCUGUGGUAGGUAUUUAAAAGGCCCUGUUAUUCCCCAAUUUCGUCAUCUUUCCUUCCUGCUCAAUCUGGGUAGCAAUGUGCUUUGUGAAAAACACUUGAUGUCCCAACUGUCUUGCAGCUCAGGGUGGCCAGUAUACAGAGUUCUGACCAAUAAAAUGAACCCCCUGGGAAGGGUCCAUUUUAAAAUAAUAAAAUGAAUUACUGCUCCACGUUUGUGCUAUGCUACUAUUUUAUAUAUUUCUCCCCAUCUCUGCUUGGAGGACAGGAGCCGUUGGACUUGUGGCAGCUGGAUUUUGACCAUGAAGAGGACACGUACUCCAUGUGGACAGUGGAGCAGGAGGAUGUGAGACGCACGUCCUUGAUCCCCAGCUGCUGGUGGCUGGGAUGCUGGGGUCCUGGUGUUGGCUGCAAGCAGUGUGACACCUGGACUGGGAGGGUUGGCAUCUUCCCCUCUGACAGGAGCCGUUGGACUUGUGGCAGCUGGAUUUUGACCGUGAAGAGGACAUGUACUCCAUGUGGACAGUGGAGCAGGAGGAUGUGAGAAGCCUGUCCGUGAGGCCCAGGUUGAGCCAUGUCACCCACCUCCCAGGCUGCCCAGGACAGAUACUUGUGACUUGGGAAAAACAUGCUCCUUACUUUCUGUAGCCACUGGUGGCUGGGAUGCUGGGGUCCUGGUAUUAUCUGAAAGCAGUGUGACACCUGGACUGGGAGGGUUGGCAUCUUCCCCUCUGACAGGUACAAACUGCAAUCCCAGGGAAGUCCUGGUUUUGCUUCACUCAGGAGUCAGAAGCCACGUGUGUCCACGUCUAAAAAGUACCUGUACUUGUUUUUUGUGAAUGUCCUUUUUUUGUCACCUGUUUUGGGAAAUGCAAUAGCUGGCCCAUUUAUUUCUGUAGAAAUUUAGGGUUUAUUUUUAAAUUUGGGAUAUUAGCUCUUUGUCUGAAGC